UGAAGUGGGUCAGCCUUCCUUUCUUAGGCUGAGCAGGGCGAGCCCUUCCCAGCUCAGGCUGAUGCUCAGAGCUGAGCCUUUUCUGAGGGCACAAGCAGCGUUUAAACCCUCAGCCUGGCUGUAAGAGGAGGUGCUGAUUUUUAUUCUGUGCCUGCAGCUCUGCAGUCCUGGCACUUACUGUCCCAAGUGGGCUGCCUUGGGUACAAAAGUAAUGCACCAAAAGGCAGGGGGUUGCUGAAUUAACUGCUGUGCUCUGAGCAUGAGCAUAAUAACGAGCACAGAUGAUGGGAGCUGGCUGUGAGAGAAUAGGAACAGGGAUUUUAAGAUACAGGACCAGCAGGUCUCAGAUUGGCUCAUCCAUCUUUGGCUCUCUUCUGCACAAUCACACUUCUCUCAAGUGUGAAGAGAGUGGGAGAAAUGGUGAAACAAAUAAAGACAAAGAGCCAGAAACUCACGAGUUACAUGAAUUUACUUCCUCCACUGUGUCACCCAUUCGCAGCAGGAUUUCUUGGCUGCCCUUAUGCUAAAUCCAGUUUGGCAGGGCUGAGGCUGGAAUAAGAUCUGCUGAAGGCUUUAGAGAGGUAAAUGUGAGGGUAAGGUGGGGAAGGUCUGUGAGAAAUGAUACUUCCAAAAAUUUAAAAGGUUUAUUAAAACCUUAUCAAAAACACAACAGAAGAUGGAAGAGAAAAAAUAUUGUGGCGUGGCGUCGGGAACAGAGGAUUUUUCCCACCAUGGGCUCACCUACACAAUGGAGGUUUCCCCUUUUAACCCUUUGGUCACUCCCAAAAUUCUGUCCAUUGACUCCUCCUUUGCUGUCCAGUGCCAUUUAUGGGACUAUAUCCUCUUAUUUUACCCUGGCUGCAGUUCCUGGGGGUCGGGAAUGUUGGAGUCCCCAUUCCCUUGUCCCCUCCGGGCAUUCUAUACUCAUGGUACAUCCGUGCUGGAUACCAUGUUUGAAGUCCUUCAGUCUCAUCCCGGUGUCAGUUUUUAACUGUGGCCCACAGUUCAGUGAUUUUUUGCUCUUUAGACAAGAAAAAGAUGAGAGAAAUUCACCAUCAUCUGUGAUGAGCUGUGAGAACAGAGCUAAGUAAGUUUUAACAAUUGAAAUCAGGGGGAAAUGUGGUAGAGAGCGACUCUCCUCUCUUUCUUUCAGAAGUCUGGUGGAAAAUAUGAUCAAUCUCUGCAGCCUCAGAGGGAAUCAAUUUCCCUUACAUAAUUUCACUGUAUUUCACCAUUUAUGGGCCAUAUCUGAGGUGGAACAGUCACCUAAGUUUUGGG